CUUUUGAAUAAGCACCAAUAGUCAUGAAACUGAAGAGUCCUAAUUUUAACUUGUUCGAACUAACAUGAAAUAUAGCAUAGAAGAAAUUAAAGAGUCAGCUAAUAUAACAAAGGUUGAAAAGUUUAGCCACGACUAACUAUGAUUCUCGUUUCACUGCUCAACAAAGCCCUCACACAUUUAUUUAUUUACACUACACUCUGGUGAAAUCAUCAAGAG